AUCAAGGCUAGAGUCACACUUGGGUAUCAGCUACUGCCUUAGUGUGCUGGAGUCCUCGAAGAAUCACUGCUGACUGUACUCACUGACUCUGGCCCCACUAUGGCAUGGCCAGGCACCAGGUCAGUCACAUGA